AGCGGGGUAGAGGAAUUGUUCGACUCAUCAGUCCCAUGACUUGAAGACUGCACGUUCGAAUCCUGCCCCCGCCU
rnacentral:tRNA from 1 species